rnacentral:rRNA from 1 species
UACAGAGGUGGCAAGCGUUGUUCGGAAUUACUGGGCGUAAAGGGCUCGUAGGCGGCCAACUAAGUCAUACGUGAAAUCCCUCAGCUUAACUGGGGAACUGCGUGUGAUACUGGAUGGCUUGGAUUUGGGAGAGGGAUGCGGAAUUCCAGGUGCAGCGGUGAAAUGCGUAGAUAUCUGGAGGAACACCGGUGGCGAAGGCGGCAUCCUGGACCAAUAUUGACGCUGAGGAGCGAAAGCCAGGGGAGCAAACGGG